GUGAGCUAAAAAAACCGUAGAUAACUAGAAUGUCAUCUUCUAUGAGGGUGUGGAUGGAGUUUUACAGAAUAGAGAAUAAUGGGCUAAAAAAAUAAAGAAUAGAAAAGAAAAGGAUAGGCCAAAAAUUUAAGAAUAGAGAAUAGUGGGCUUUUUGAAUAUAAAAAAAAAAGAGAAUAAUGGGCAAAAUUUAUAUAGAAUAGAGAAAAAUGGCGUAAAUAAUAUUAAGAAUUGAAGAACACCCACUUCUCUCCUUUUCCAGACCCUCUUUUAUUCUAUGACUGUUAACAAACAUAUAUAUAUACAAUGCUAGGCGGUCUUGUCGUAGAAGUUAGAAAAAAAGUACAGGUUCCAGCCCCGGCGCCGGGGAGGAAGUUACGAAUCAAAUCUACUCUAACAUCGGUAGGUUGAUUUUCUAGGCACUUUAUAUAUAUAUAU
rnacentral:lncRNA from 1 species